CCACUGCAGAAAUAUUCUGUGGACUCUCUAGAUCAAUAAUUAUUAAAAAAAUGUUGAAUUUUGUCCUUUGGUUAGCUGUAACAGGGUAAUUUAGAAAAAGGGGUGUGGCCAAACAUACCCCAAAGCCUAUAAAACCUAAAGGAAAACUCAAAACUUUAUGAAACUAAGUGAAAUCAUGUAACAGGUGACUCUUAACAAGCAUGCAAAGUUUCAUGGAGAUCAGACCAUAGGUGGCGCUAUAACAGUAGAAAAGGUCUCAAAACACAAGAUUUAUAUGGUAAAUGGCCUCAAAUUGUUUGAAAAUGCUCAUAUAUUCACUCAAAAACACUAAAUCUUCAUAUCAUAUGAUAGAUCUCCUCAUUCUGAACAACUUUGCCUCUGGGACCAAUGUUGUCAAUAAAGCUGUUAAUUAAAUAUUCAAGAUUAUUUAAAAAAGUUACUUUGGCAUACUUGUGAUACAGUUUAAGAUGAAAAUCAAUAAAACCACUGAAGUACAAUUCUCUAGACUCUGAAGGUCAAUAAUUAUCAAAAACAUGUUGAACAAUUGCAUUUGGGCAACUAUAAACCAGUCAUUUUAUAAUAUGUUCUUUUCAUAGUCCACACAAAGGCCUAUUAAUACAAUCAGAAAGCCCACAAAUUAUCAAAACUGUGUAAAAUAAUGCAUAAUUUCAUUCUAAACAAGCAUGCAAAAUUUAAGAGAGAUUGGGCAAAAAAAAAAAUAACAACACUAUAACAGUUAUGUUUAAAAACACAGUGUUGUUUGAGUAAAUGCAAUUUAUAACCACUAGAUGGCAGCAGAAGACCACUAAUUGGCUCAUUCAGCUAGUACUGUUUUUAUGAAUUCAUGCCAAAACAUUAAUAAAUUAACUGUUAUAACAUUUUAAAUCUCAUUGAAUUGAUGUUUUCCAUUUUGUUCAUACAGAUGUAUCAGUUUUAACAAUUUUGCCACAUUAUGAUUACAGUUUAACCUGAAAAUGACAUCUAAACUCUAAAAAAGAGCAGACUUGCAAUAAGUUUACUGCCACCAAUAACUUAUUUCAAAUACCUAUAUCUGCAACAAAAUGUGUGUGUGUGUGUGCAUAUGCUUAUAGAGUAUACAUAUAUUAGUCUAAUCAUUUACUUUCAGUGUGUGUGUCUGUCUGUUAGCCUGUUCUCCAUUUUGGAUGUGUUUAACUGUCAUCCAUGCAUCCAGGUUGGCUCAGACCACCUCAGAGGCCUUAAUGUGCUUGAACCCCGGUAAAUGCUGCUUGCAGCUUUAAUUAUUAUUAUUAUUAUUAUUCUUCCGCCUUAAAACUGAACGUGCAGCCCAAACCGUAAGGCCUAGAGAGCUGAAACUUGGUCAGAUGGUAGUAGUCUUGCUCGCUACUCAGAUACAAAGAACCGGCCCAAUCGGCCUAACGGGGGCGCUACAGCGCAAAAAACAAAAAUUUUGGACAAUUUUGGCCGUAAAGUGUAAACCGUUAGCCAUAGACUCAAAAACAUGGCAUUGUUGCAAUCCUUGGGUUAGCCCGAACAAAAGUGCACGGCGCCUUUUUGGGGUCUACGACGCACCGUUUUCUCGCAAAAUCGAGCUAAAUCCGAAACCUACUUUUGCGAACUAGUCCUAGGAUUUUCAACCAAUCAGAACCAAACCACUUCAUAAAUAUUCCCUGGACACUCAAUAUCAAUAAUUAUCAAAAAAAAGUUGAAAUUUCAAUUCUUACGCGAAACAGUACACCAAAAAGCGUCUAUGCUAACGUUAGCCAAAUGCUAUUUUAACUAUAACUCUUGAACGGAAUGAGAUAUCUUCACCAAACUCGGUAUACAUAUGUAUAAGCUCAAUCUUUGGUCAAAUCAAAAAUAUUGCGCAUCUCUGCCACUUGGGGGCGCUAUAAGAUAGAAAAAACACAUAAAUGGCUAUAACUAGGCAACUGUUGCCUCGAUCGACUUGAAAAUUGGUAUGCAAUGUCUCGGUCUGAAGGGGCACAAGUACAUAUGAGGACAUUUGCAUAUCUAAAAAAAACAUGGCCGCCAUUGGCCAAACAAUUUUAAGCACCUAUUUGAAAGGGUUAACGGAUGUUGAUCGGAACGAAACUCGCUGGGUACGUUCGACUCAUGAACCUUAAGGUCUGUAAGAAUUUUGAAAGAAAUCGGCCACUAGUUGGCGCUAACGAGUUUUAUGGCUCUGUAAUCACGUGGUGUUUCACAUAUCAACACAGUAUGCAUAUCAUUUGAUAGAUCUCCUCAUAAUGCACAACUUUGCCUCAAGAACCAUUGCUGUCAAUCAAAUCAUUCAAUUGUUAUUCACAAAUAUGUUAAAAACCUACUUUUGCGAACUAGUCCUAGGUUUUUUGUCCGAUCGGAACCAAACCACUGCAGUAAUAUUCUGUGGACUCUCUAGAUCAAUAAUUAUUAAAAAAAUGUUGAAUUUUGUCCUUUGGUCAGCUGUAAAGGGGUAAUUUAGAAAAAGGGGUGUGGCCAAACAUACCCCAAAGCCUAUAAAACCUUAACGAAAACUCAAAACUUUAUGAAACUCGGUGAAAUCAUCUAACUUGUGACUCUUAACAAGCAUGCAAAGUUUCAUGGAGAUCAGACCAUAGGUGGCGCUAUAACAGUAGAAAAGGUCUCAAAACACAAGAUUUAUAUGGUAAAUGGCCUCAAAUUGUUUGUAAAUGCUCAUAUAUUCACUCAAAAACACUAAAUCUUUAUAUCAUUUGAUAAAUAUCCUCAUUCUGAACAACUUUGCCUCUGGGACCAACGUUGUCAAUAAAGCUGUUAAUUAAACAUUCAAGAUUAUUUUAAAAAGGUACUUUGGCAAACUAGUGAUCGGGUAUAAGAUGAAAAUCAAUAAAACCACUGAAGUACAAUUCUCUAGACUCUGAAGGUCAAUAAUUAUCAAAAACAUGUUGAACAAUUGCAUUUAGACAACUAUAAACCAGUAAUUUUAUAUUAUGUUAUUUGCAUAGUGUACACAAAGGCCUAUUAAUACAAACAGAAAUCCCACAAAUGAUCAAAACUGUCUAAAAUAAUGCAUGAUUUCAUUCUAAACAAGCAUGCAAAAUUUAAGAGAGAUUGGGCAAAAAUAAAAAAAAUAACAACACUAUAACAGUUAUGUUUAGAAACACAGUGUUGUUUCAGUAAAUGCAAUUUAUAACCACUAGAUGGCAGCGGAAGACCACUAAUGGGCUCAUUCAGUUAAAAUGAACAGUACUGUAGAAAGGAUUCAUGAAUUCAUGCCAAAACAUUAAUAAAUUAACUGUUAUAACAUGUUACAUCUUAUUGAAUCAAUGUUUUCCAUUUUGUUCAUACAGACACAUCAUUUUUUACAAUUUUGCCACAUUGUGAUUACAGUGAAACCUGAAUGACAUCUAAACUCUUAAAAACUAGUUUAAUCAUUUAAUUUCAGUGUGUGUGUGUCUGUCUUUUGGAUGUAUUUAAAUGUCAUCCAUACAUCCUGGUUGGCCGAGACCACCCCAGAGGCACAAAGACCUAUUAAUACAAACAGAAAUCCCACAAAUUAUCAAAACUGUGUAAAGUAAUGCAUAAUUUCAUUCUAAACAAGCAUGCAACAUUUAAGAGAGAUAGGGCAAAAAAACCCAACAACAACACUUUAACAGUUAUGUUUAAAAACACAGUGUUGUUUGAGUAAAUGCAAUUUAUAACCACUAGAUGGCAGCGGAAGACCACUAAUGGGCUCUUUCAGCUAGUACUG